GACGAACGCUGGCGGCGUGCUUAACACAUGCAAGUCGAACGGAAAGGCCCUGCUUUUGUGGGGUGCUCGAGUGGCGAACGGGUGAGUAACACGUGAGUAACCUGCCCUUGACUUUGGGGUAACUUCAGGAAACUGGGGCUAAUACCGGAUAGGAGCUCCUGCUGCAUGGUGGGGGUUGGAAAGUUUCGGCGGUUGGGGAUGGACUCGCGGCUUAUCAGCUUGUUGGUGGGGUAGUGGCUUACCAAGGCUUUGACGGGUAGCCGGCCUGAGAGGGUGACCGGCGACAUUGGGACUGAGAUACGGCCCAGACUCCUACGGGACGCAGCAGUGGGGAAUAUUGCACAAUGGGCGGAAGCCUGAUGCAGCAACGCCGCGUGCGGGAUGACGGCCUUCGGGUUGUAAACCGCUUUCGCCGGUGACGAAGCGUGAGUGACGGUAAUGGGUAAAGAAGCACCGGCUAACUACGUG
rnacentral:rRNA from 1 species